rnacentral:tRNA from 1 species
GCAAGCGUAGCUUAAAUUUAAAGCAUAACCUUGAAGAUGUUAAAAUGGGCCCUGAGAAGCCCCGCAGGCA